rnacentral:rRNA from 1 species
CCUACGGGUGGCAGCAGUGAGGAAUAUUGGUCAAUGGACGGAAGCCUGAACCAGCCAUGCCGCGUGCAGGAAGACGGCCCUAUGAGUUGUAAACCGCUUUUGACAGGGAAGAAAAACGACAGCUCCUGUAGAAUAAGCUCCGGCUAACUACGUGCCAGCAGCCGCGGUAAUACGUAGGGAGCAAGCGGUAUCCGGAUUUAUUGGGUGUAAAGGGUGCGUAGACGGGGAAGCAAGUUAGUUGGGAAAUCCCUCGGCUUAACUGGGGAACUGCAACUAAAACUACUUCCCUUGAGUACUGGAGAGGAAGGUGGAAUUCGUGGUGUAGCGGUGAAAUGCGUAGAUAUUAGGAGGAACACCGAUGGCGAAGGCGGCUUUCUGGGCUGUAACUGACGUUGAGGCACGAAAGUGUGGGGAGCAAACAGGAUUAGAUACCCCAGUAGUC